rnacentral:tRNA from 1 species
GGCCGGAUAGCUCAGUCGGUAGAGCAGCGGAUUGAAAAUCCGCGUGUCGGCAGUUCGAUUCUGCCUCCGGCCACCA